CCUUUUAGAAGUGACUGAAUCCUUUAGAGUUUUGUUUAGUGAUUGGGUUUCCUUUUGAGUAUAAAGCUUGAUGAUGUGCUUUGGGUUUGAAAAAUUGGGGCUUUUGGGUACAGCCGAAUGUGUUUUGAUUAAGUCUCUGCCUGUAGUUGUUGUGUGGUGUUGUCUUUGACAUCAGUCCAAAAAUUAUGUUGCUUGGUCAUGAACUCAUGAUGUAUGCUAAAAAUCAUUAUGAAAUUUCUCCCUUUUUUUUCCUAAUUUUUUUAGGUAUCUGUUCUUUUUCUAAAUUUGGAUUGACUAUGCAGAUGGGUAUUUUGCUGGUGGAUAAUAUAUUUUGUUUCUUGUAGUUCAUUUUAAAGAUAUAAACUGUGGCUCUUGAUAGUUAAUGAGGUACAGUGUUUGUGAGCUUAGAAUUCUUGAUUUGUUAUGCACAACUGGUUUUCUAAGCUAUAUUGCACUCUUAUUUGCUUAUCAAAAAGUUUUUUCCCUCCUUUCUUGAUUUCUUUUAGCCUGAAGGUUUUAUUAUGUCUUUUCCAACUAGUGGUAUAUGUUGAUUUAGUGCUGACAUCUAGAGAUUUCUAUUUAUGUAGGUGUUAGAAGUUGACAGUAAGAAUGUAAAAGCUCUGUACAGUGGUAUGGUUGAAUGGCAUGAUUAAAUGGAUGCUAUACCCAAUAUGGGAAGCUGCUGCCGUUGAUGAAUGGUUAUACAAUGGCGGUCCUUAUGAGCUAAUUGUUCUACCACCAAGAGCGAGAAAAGGCAGCUGUUGUAGGUGGAGGGGGAUAAGUGCUAAAUUUUAGAUUGUUUUUUGUUAGUGUAGACCACAUGUUCUCACUCUUGUAUAAGUUCUUUAUACAAGUUCUACCAUUUUGGUGAAAUCUUGUAGAAAAAUAUAUGUUUUGGAUAUAUGUAGAAACUUUGUUAAGUUAGUGUGUGUGCUGUGCUUAGUAGUGUGUGGGUGGUGCCUAGUAGUGUGAUGAGGUGUGCCUGUUGUGGUGAUAAAGGGUGCGUGUACUUGGCUAUAUUGAGGCAUGUGCAAUGCAGGUGCAUGAUGUGAAGCUUAGUAAGUGAUCAGAUAGUGAGAGUUAUACAAAAAAGAGUAACCACGUCGCCAGGAAGCUUGAGAAGCAUCAGCAAGGUCGUACACUUGAUGCACAUAUCAAAGAGAAGUUUGGGGGCGGUAGGCUGUUGGCAUGCAUCUCUUCUCGACCAGGACAAUGUGGUAGAUCUGAUGGAUACAUUUUGGAAGGAAAAGAACUUGAGUUCUGUAUGAAGAAGAUCCAAAGGAAGAAGGGGAAGGGUGUCGCAGCUUAAGUAGUUUAUUAGUCAUAGUUUUGGUCUUUUUGCAACUUGUUUUUGUUACACUUGCCUAGAUGGGCCAAUGUUUAUCAUUAUUGAUGGAUCUCUGAAGAUUUUGUGGCAUGUUUAGUUGUUUCAAAUUAGAUGCUUUAACUAGUUUGUGAUUGACAAGAGUCAGACUUGAGCUAAAAUAGCACUUGUUGGGUGCUGCCCUCUUUAUCCAUCAUUCUCUUGUAGUAGAAUUUCUUUUUAUUGUUAUAGCUGUGCUCUUUUCAUGGUA